ACAUCCAAUGGCCAGAACGAGCUUCCCAAAAGGUUGCGGUCUCUCCACCGUUUCAAAACCUUCAUUCACUUAGACCAAAACUUUACCUCCGAUGAGGGCGAAAAACCGACGGCCACGCACCAUUCCUCACCUACGUCUCAGCUUGGCGCGCAUAAAAGCGAGGACGACGGAGUCCAAUCCGAUGUUGUGCGAAACAUAUCCAAGUGCAAAAUCUAAGUGAAGACUCAAAGAAAACGCGAGCCAUUUGACGAUAUUGACGCUUCAGAUCGAGAUACCGUCUCUCACUCUCAUCUCGUUCCCAGUUUCUAGUUCAACAACAAAGCUUUCUCCGAUUUAUCGUAUCUACACAUAAAAGAUGAGCAAAAAGAGAGCAAAGGCUUACUGGAAAUAGAGCUUCGAUGCAGUGGUUCUUCUACGGCUACAACGACGACUUCACCGGUGAAUUAGUGAUUGCCAAUGGUUCUGCAGAACGGUCUUUGCGUUGAGUUCUCCAGCUCAUGUUUUGACAUUGCAAUUGUGUUGCGUUUUCCUUUUACUGUUUCUGCAGGUUGGGUCCAAGUUUGUGACCCAUGAUGUGGAUAUGAUUAUGGAUAGAUGGUUAAUGUUAAUGGAUCUUGGAUUUAAAAUGGAUAUGGAUUUUUAAGCA